GUUCCCGGGUCUUGUACACACCGCCCGUCACACCACGAAAGUUGGUAACACCUGAAGCCGGUGGCCUAACCAUAUGGAGGGAGCCGUCGAAGGUGGGACUGAUGAUUGGGGUGAAGUCGUAACAAGGUAGCCGUAUCGGAAGGUGCGGCUGGAUCACCUCCUUUCUAAGGAA
rnacentral:rRNA from 1 species